CCCAUGAACCUGUAUGGGCAUGUUAAAGCCUCAAACCAGCUCACAUAAUCACAGAGCUGGGGCUACCCCAUACCUUGCGCUGCCUCCCAGCUUGAUUGCCACCUUGCCCAGGGCCUUGUCCAGGUCAUCAUGAACCAGGUCCCUCAUUGUGACACUCCUCAGAAGCUGAACGGGUGCUGGCCCAGCCAAAGCCUGCAAGGUCUGACCAGCACAAGGAUGUACAAGAAGCUCCAUAGCUCACAGGACCAACUCUGCUGUAGAAACCAUCACGGAAUAAAAGGAAUUUUCAAAACCGUUA